AAUUAUAAAACGCAUAAUAUCGAGACAGGUGUUUUUUCUAAAUGCUAUGUAUACUUUGUAUGCUCCAGACAUUGCAAGCAAUUUUCAGACAUUUUUGAUUCAUGAUGUUAACUCAAGUGUAUACAAGGUAUAUAUACUCGCUGAAGACUAAAUAUAUUAGUUACGAUCAUAUAAACGACCUGCAACUAUCGAGAAAAUCGAAAUCUGACAAUUAAAAAAAAUUAGAGAAAGAAAUAUUGACAAGAUGAAGUGCGUUAUUUUCACCCUUUUUCUUAUGAUUGCUAUGGUUAUGGCUGAUGAUCAGUGCAGCCCUUGGUUAGAUUAUUGUCAAAUAACUGAUCAAUGCUGUCGCCAUCUAAUAUGUUCUGGCUAUACUGCCAAAUGUGUACCAAAAGGAGGCUUGGUUAUGCCCGGAGAAGACAAGAGACCUCUUGGUCCUGGACCAUACCCACCAAAUGUACCAGAAUCUGAAUUACAAUAACAAUUAUUUUAAUUAAUAAUGACGCUCCUUUAUAUCUGAUUUGGCCGUCUUUUCUUUCUCAGCAAAGACGUUUUUAUGUUAUAUGUUAUAUGUUAUAUGUUAUAUGUAUAUUAUAAUACUAAAUAAAUAAUAUUAAAAAAUUA